GGGCCGUUAACUCAGGUGGUAGAGUACCGGACUUUUAAUCCGGGUGUCCCGGGUUCGAACCCCGGACGGCUCA
rnacentral:tRNA from 1 species